rnacentral:rRNA from 1 species
UACGUAGGGUGCGAGCGUUAAUCGGAAUUACUGGGCGUAAAGCGUGCGCAGGCGGUUUUGUAAGUCUGACGUGAAAUCCCCGGGCUCAACCUGGGAAUUGCGUUGGAGACUGCAAGGCUAGAGUCUGGCAGAGGGGGGUAGAAUUCCACGUGUAGCAGUGAAAUGCGUAGAGAUGUGGAGGAACACCGAUGGCGAAGGCAGCCCCCUGGGUCAAGACUGACGCUCAUGCACGAAAGCUAGGGGAGCGAAAGGG